rnacentral:sRNA from 1 species
GUCGGCUGAUCGGACGUCCCGGCUCGGACCCUGAUUGCCCCCCAGCCUCCGACCCGGGCUCCGGUCGGCCGACGGUCUAUAUCCCCUCCCCCUAAGAGGCCCGCGCGGUGUCCCCUCCCCGCGCGGGCU